AGCGGAAAGCGUUUGACAGCUGAGGCCCCACGCGAUUGGCCGGUGUCCCGGCUGAGGGGCGGGGCGCGGCGCCGCGGAGGAAGAUGGCGGUCCGGCGGCCGGUGAGGGGCCGGGGUGGGAGGGGGGUUCUGAGGGGAGGUACGCGUCCUCCACCUCGGCACCGGCGGGGCUGGUUGUACACUGUCGCUUUGAAGCAGGGAAGCCACAUGCUGCGGAAGCGGUCCUGGUUCCUUCUGUCCCUGCACAGCGGACAUCAGCUGUGGUGCCUGGGACAUUUAAUAAUGGUGCAGUGUGUGAGGGGAAGGACUUGGAAGAUUGGCAGAAAGAACUUUACAAGAAGGUGAUAAAGGAGAAUUAUGAAUCUUUAACCACGCUGGGUAAAGACUAUGCUGUUCCCAAAAGCAAUAUCCAGGUGAGAGGAACACUGCCUGUCAAGCAUCAGCAGGAUUUUGAGGAAAGGCAGAUUUCCACAAGUCUUGGUGCAGGCUGCGGCUGUCCUGUGAUCAGAUCCGAGUUGCAGAGUCACGCAAAGAGUGCAGAAAAUACAGAACUGCAGGGAUCAUUCUCAGGAGGAACCUGAGACCAGAGUUGCUAAAUUUUGGACAAGGGGGUAACAUGCAAGAGUCAUCAUAAUUCAGCAACAGGUCAGGCAAAUCCAAUGGGAAGCAGAAGAGGCAAUGGCUCUCUUGAGGAACAACCUAAUGAAUUCAAAGAGAUCCUCUUUUAUCAGCAGACCUAUGCAGGAGAAAGACUGUAUCUGUGUACAGAAUGUCAGAAAUUUUUUUAAAAUUUUUUUUUAAUUUUUAAAUUGAAGAUUGGACUUCUAAAAUACAAACAAAUUCACACUAAACAUCAUCGGGUAUCAUCUUAUAUAUGCACAGACUGCGGUAAAAACUUUGGUCACCACGCAGUCUUGAUUCGCCACCAGAGAACUCACACAGGAGAGCGGCCUUACAAGUGUACGGAAUGUGAAAAAAAGUUUUAUGGAAAAACCGAGACUCACUAAUCACUUGCGAACUCAUAACAUAUACAUGUAAUCAGUGUGCCAGAAGCUUUCCUGGGGUAGAUUUUUUUUUUUCCAUUUGGUUAUCAAAAAAUCCCUCCAUCCAGAGAUGAUGGUUGAUAGUCAUAUAUUGAUUGUAGGGGAAGCUUUAGGAUAAGGGUUUUACUAAACUGAAUCAAGUUCAAGCAUAAAAGCUUGUUGGUGCCAGGCUAACGGUCAUCGAUUAGGACCUGAUUUUAAUUAGCAGCUAGAUGAUUAUUAAUAUCUGGGAGGAGGAGUUGUGUAGAGCAGUGUUGAUGGUACCAAAAGCACUGUUAAAAAAAGUCUUCUGGUGCACCAAACAGCAUGUGCUGGAGAAUGUAUUAAUGCAGGAAAAUGCUCAAAGCUUUUUGAGUAUGGGAAGACUGAGAAAGUGUUGCCAUCAGAACAGAAUGGUCCACAGAGCUGUAAGCAGGAAAUGGCGCUUUUAAAAGCUUAGGUUAAGGUGAGUGGUUGGGUUUGAUUUAAAAACAGUAACAACAAAAAAAUUAGUUCAGCAGUUUCAGUCAUAGGACAGCAGCAGUGGCAGUGAAAGCACUGUCAUGUGGAAAUAACGACCAGAAUCAGUUGCUUCAAACAUCUGUUUACUGGGGGCAAGAUGCCAAUUUAAUUUCUGAGAUUCUGGAAAAGAGCAUGGAUAUAUUCUUAAUGUAAGUACAAAGUACAGGUAACAUCGCUCUGUAAACUGAAAAGAAAGCAGUGGCUUCGGCUAUGGGGAUGAGUUCAGCAGGCAGGACGGGGUCCUGCGGAGACAGUGUUUGUCAGUCACAUAUUCUCUACGCAGGCUGGGGAUAUUUAGCAUUUUUGCUUUUCCAGUUGAAUGCAAAGAGUCAAAAAGUUGUGUUGCCUCCAGUUCAAGCACCUGCUUCGCAGUGAACCCGUGAGUGAUGUCCUCAGCUUCCCAUGAGGAGCAGUAGAGCAAGAGACAGCUGGUGCUGUGAUGCAAUUCAAUAAGUUCUGAAGGGGACUGGGGGGAUACACUUGGGACCAAAGGAUCCCUGCCCAUCCCAAGUACAGGAGUAAUGUCCAGAAAGUUUUUACCACUGGCUUCUCAUUAUUUCCUUCUUAAAAUUGCCCUGGGACAGCUUUUCUUUUAUUCUUCAUAGAAUCCCUGAUUGGUGUGGUUUGGAAGGGACCUUAAAGACCCCCCAGUCCCACCCCUGCCACGCGCAGGGCCCCCUUCCCCCAGCCCCGGUGGCUCCCAGCCCCGUCCAGCCUGGCCUUGGGCACUGCCAGGGCUGGGGCACCCACAGCUGCUCUGGGCAGCCCGUGCCGGCGCCUCGCUGCCCUCACAGGGAAGGAUUUCUCCCUCAGCUCUGAUCUCCAUCUGCCCUCUCUCAGCGCAAAGCCCUUCCCCCUUGUCCUGGCGCUGCAGGCCCUUGGGAAAAGCCCCUCCCCAGCUUCCUCGCCGGCCCCUUUGGGUGCUGGAAGGUGCUCCAGGCUCUCCAGGAGCCUUCCCUUCUCCGGGCUGAACAGCCCCAGCGCUCCCAGCCCGGCUGCACAGCAGAGGGGCUCCAGCCCUCU
ensembl:lncRNA